CCGUGGAGACACUCCGCAAGAUCCUAUUCGCCCCGUACCCUUCACCACCUCCACUCUCCUUGUCCCCCCUCUCCUGUGCGUCUGUCCUUUGACAUGAACUGCCCCUCGUCACGCUCCACCUGUCCUCCUCGGCCAAUGGCAGCGGAAAAAGAUGCCCUCCCUCCAUGUCGCUUACGGGGAAACGUGUCCUUCGCCAUCAUCACUAUUUAAUGCUCCGUCGUUCUAUGUCCGUCAUGGCCAGCUCUUGCUUAAAGCAGAUACUACACCAGUCAUAAUAAUAGCCAACAAAAGGAGGAGAUGGUGCGGCAAGGCGGUUGCUGUCUAACGAUGUACGGCGGAGUUGGCGACGUCGAUGCUGCCUGGAAGGUGAGGCGGAUCAUGCUCAGGUUCCGCCCCAUCGCCCCCAAGCCCGCCUCCGCUGAAACAGGUUCCCCGGCGGUCUCUGUAGUCUCUACAGAGGCGCGCGCCGUAGCGAGGAGGCCGAAGAGGAAGAGAUCCGCCAAGUCCCAGGGCAGGAAGCCUAGGAGGGGGCAGGCGACUGCGGUAAAGGAGGAUGAGAAGUCAUCGUCGACGAUCGUGACGCUCCCGUUGAUUCCAGAGAUGCCGGAGGGGAAGGACGUGGCGACGGAGUCGUCGAUGCAGCAUUCUAGUCCUGUUACUCCUGCUGCAGCCGUGGUGCCGACUUGGAUGGGGCGAGGGGAGGGGGGAGGAUCGGAGUCGUGGCCGGUGAGGGUCGUAAGUUUGUGGGUGACGGUGGAGUGCGUGACGGACAUGUGGAGGGAGGGGGAGAUCGCACGUAGGAGCGACGAGGGGGUGAGGGCGGCGUUGGCUGCGGACGAGUGCCCCGGUUUUGUGUCCGAUGUGUGGGAACGGGUGACGUGGACCAACGAGGCCUGCCGGAGGAGGGUGGUGGGUUCCUCGUCGGGAGACCGCGGAGUAAGGGAGGAGGACGAGGCGGUGAGGGUGGAGCUGGUGACGCGGGGAUUGGUGCCUCCGGCUUGGGAAUGCCGAGCGUUCACUUGCAGGGUGCGUGUCAGGCAGGCGAAGCCUCCAGGGAGGCAGACGACUCCGUCCUCGCCACUGGCUGCGCCGUGCGACGUGUGGAGGCUGGACAGCGGCGGUUGCGCGUGGAGGCUCGACGUCAAAGCGGCGCUAAGUCUCGGCUUUUAAGCGACGGACCAGCGGGAAAGAAGGAAGAAGAAGAAGAAGAGCACUGUUGUUUUCUGCCAUCAAAACUGCAGCAGACAACCAAAAGUAACAUAACCAUGGUAUUGGCCAUAAAAGUGUUUCUGAUUUCUGUAGUACUGGCCAGAAUUGCUUUCUGCUUUCCACAGGAGAACACCAAAAAAUGUAACGAAACACACGAGAAAUGCCCAAACGAUCGGCCGGCGUUCGCCCCACGCAGCCCUCUCCUCUCUCGCCGUCCCUUCGCUGCUUGCAAAUCCUGGAUGCCAGAGAAGCUUACAUUGGGUUUUCAAGGUCUUCAUUGCAAUGUCAAUACACCAUCAUAAAUAAAGCCAAUUCAAGAGGGUCCAAUCACUGGAAGGAGAUCCUAUCUACUACUCGGAACCUAAUGUUUGAUCUUUUCUUUUGAAAUCUCCAUCAAUAUAAUCGCACGGUCCUUUCACCGAUCAGGUUGCUCAUGUAUUGGAUAGUUUUGGCAGAAUGCAAACUAAAGAUGUUUUCUUUCAUAACAAGAAAAACAAAAGACUACUUCAAUGAUCACAGCAUGCUCAUAUUGAUAUUAUUAGGUGAGUGACACUUGAACUGUGGUUGGAAAAGAAAAAUGUAAAGAUUGAGUAAUUUAUGCAUGCACGACAAAUUGUGCUUGUUGGUGGGAUGAUGUUGAAGGUUGGACAUGCAGUGAUAGAGUAAAGAAAUGUAUAUGGAAACUUGGAAGCACAGCUAUCACCCUUCAUGACAUCUCACAUUGCAUCCACAUGUGGUAAAA